rnacentral:rRNA from 1 species
UACGUAGGGUGCGAGCGUUAAUCGGAAUUACUGGGCGUAAAGCGUGCGCAGGCGGUUUUGUAAGCCAGAUGUGAAAGCCCCGGGCUUAACCUGGGAAUGGCAUUUGGGACUGCAAGGCUUGAGUGCGGCAGAGGAGACUGGAAUUCCCGGUGUAGCAGUGAAAUGCGUAGAUAUCGGGAGGAAUACCGAUGGCGAAGGCAGGUCUCUGGGCAGUAACUGACGCUGAGGAGCGAAAGCGUGGGGAGCAAACAGGG